UACGACCAUAUAGCGUUGAAGCACCCUUUCCCGUACGAUCACCGCUUAAGCAACGUCAAGCCUGGUCAGUACUUAGAUGGGUGACCGUCUGGGAAACACCAUGUGCUGU